rnacentral:rRNA from 1 species
UACGGGGGGGGCAAGCGUUGUUCGGAAUUACUGGGCGUAAAGGGCUCGUAGGUGGCCAACUAAGUCAGACGUGAAAUCCCUCGGCUUAACCGGGGAACUGCGUCUGAUACUGGAUGGCUUGAGUUUGGGAGAGGGAUGCGGAAUUCCAGGUGUAGCGGUGAAAUGCGUAGAUAUCAGGAGGAACACCGGUGGCGAAGGCGGGUCUCUGGGCCGAUACUGACGCUGAGGUGCGAAAGCGUGGGGAGCAAACAGG